rnacentral:lncRNA from 1 species
CCCCCCCAAAAAAAAAAAAAGGGAAGAACGUCUCACAUGUACAAGCAAGCACAGUUCUGGAUUGUCAAUAACUGGAUUUGCAUAUUCAAUAUUAACUUAAUUUUGGUUGGGCAACGGAAAUUCUUGAAAGGAAGCUGAUAAAGAAGUACGAUAAGCUCAAGGUAUGCACAAGCCCAUGAAACAGAUUUGGUUCAUGUGUAACUUAUGAGGAUAGUCUUUUCACUAUAUGUUUCGUUCCCUAUUUGCUCUGUGGUCAUCAAGGACUCGUAAUUGAGGAG